rnacentral:rRNA from 1 species
CAGGGAAUCUUGCACAAUGGGCGAAAGCCUGAUGCAGCGACGCCGCGUGGGGGAUGAAGGCCCUAGGGUCGUAAACCCCUUUCAGCAGGGACGAAAAUGACGGUACCUGCAGAAGAAGCCCCGGCCAAUUCCGUGCCAGCAGCCGCGGUAAGACGGAAGGUGCAAGCGUUGCUCGGAAUCACUGGGCGUAAAGGGUGCGUAGGCGGCCUCGUAAGUCUGACGUGAAAGCCCCGGGCUCAGCCCGGGGAAGUGCGCUAGAAACUGUGAGGCUCGAGUGCCGGAGGGGAGAGUGGAAUUCCUGGUGUAGCGGUGAAAUGCGUAGAUAUCAGGAGGAAUACCGGUGGCGAAAGCGACUCUCUGGACGGCAACUGACGCUGAGGCACGAAAGCGUGGGGAG